rnacentral:rRNA from 1 species
UACAGAGGUCUCAAGCGUUGUUCGGAAUUACUGGGCGUAAAGGGCGCGUAGGCGGCCUUCUAAGUCGAACGUGAAAUCCCCGGGCUCAACCCGGGAACUGCGUCCGAUACUGGAAGGCUUGAAUCCGGGAGAGGGAUGCGGAAUUCCAGGUGUAGCGGUGAAAUGCGUAGAUAUCUGGAGGAACACCGGUGGCGAAGGCGGCAUCCUGGACCGGCAUUGACGCUGAGGCGCGAAAGCCAGGGGAGCAAACGGG